AGGCUUUGUUGUGAUUCCUGCCCUCAGAUGUCAGGUCAUUAUCGGUGAAACCUAGCCCCCGGCUAGCGUUUACAUUGGAAACUACCGACUCCAGCUGGUUAACAGUUAUCUCCGGUGGAACAUAGGCCAUAUUCAGUACUUUCAACAAGGCUGCUCUGUGCGCCUCAGAGCACAGCAAUAGUGAGAGAAUGGAGAUCUUUGAGGGUGUCUGAUUUAGUUGGUCGACUACCUUGUAGUCA
rnacentral:lncRNA from 1 species